rnacentral:rRNA from 1 species
GACGAACCGUGCGAACGUUAUUCGGAAUCACUGGGCUUAAAGCGCGUGUGGGCGGCCCGGCACGUCCGUCGCUGAAAUCCCCCGGCUCAACCGGGGAAGUGGCGUGGAUACGACCGGGCUGGAGGGGGGUAGGGGGAGCCGGAACUUCCGGUGGAGCGGUGAAAUGCGUUGAGAUCGGAAGGAACGCCCGUGGCGAAAGCGGGCUCCUGGACCCCACCUGACGCUGAGACGCGAAAGCCAGGGGAGCGAACGGG